rnacentral:rRNA from 1 species
AUUGAACGCUGGCGGCAUGCCUUACACAUGCAAGUCGAUCGGCAGCACGGGAGCAAUCCUGGUGGCGAGUGGCGAACGGGUGAGUAAUAUAUCGGAACGUGCCCAGUCGUGGGGGAUAACGCAGCGAAAGCUGUGCUAAUACCGCAUACGAUCUAUGGAUGAAAGCGGGGGACUCGCAAGGGCCUCGCGCGAUUGGAGCGGCCGAUAUCAGAUUAGGUAGUUGGUGGGGUAAAGGCUCACCAAGCCGACGAUCUGUAGCUGGUCUGAGAGGACGCCCAGCCACACUGGAACUGAGCCACGGUCCAGACUCCUACGGGAGGCAGCAGUGGGGAAUUUUGGACAAUGGGCGCAAGCCUGAUCCAGCAAUGCCGCGUGCAGGAUGAAGGCCUUCGGGUUGUAAACUGCUUUUGUACGGAACGAAACGGUUCUUUCUAAUACAGAGAGCUAAUGACGGUACCGUAAGAAUAAGCACCGGCUAACUACGUGCCAGCAGCCGCAGUAAAAC